rnacentral:lncRNA from 1 species
GGGGGGAAAAAAACAUUAUCCACAAUUCUAUCUUCCUCUCUUCCAGGGUGAGGAAGAGCACUGCUGCUGGCCGUGGAUUGGUGCGGUCGGCAAAGACCAAAGCCCUGGCCUGCCUGGGAGACAGUGAUAGUGACGGAGAGAACGUCUUCAUCCAUCCUCUUCCUCAGAGUCAACAGCAGAGAACAAACACUGCCAGGAGCGCUGGAAGGAAGCAUGCUGUGAGCACCAGUGAAAGUGAUGGUGAGGCGUCCCUCAGACAGCAGAACAUCAAACGCCCCAGAAUCACCAGAACCAAGACCCACACAGAGUGAGUAACAGUUUCCCAUGUGUUCAUUUUUAACAGCAGUCCGGGAGAAACCCAAAAAAUAUAUUAAUAAAGUCUCUGUUUCCCCUCCUUUCCAUUCCACCUCUCCCUCUCAGUCCCACCCCAGGUGAAGCUCCAGGUCGUUUUGUGACCCAUCGUAGGGCAGCUAAUAAACACAAAGCCCCCAAAAGGAGAAAUAACGUAAGGCCCUGUUCCAAUCCCCUUGACCCUACCCUUCCUUCUCACAUGGCCCUGUUCCAAUCCCCUUGACCCUACCCUUCCUUCUCACAUGGCCCUGUUCCAAUCCCCUUGACCCUACCCUUCCUUCUCCCAAUGUCCCAGCCACUCCAGCCGACCUCUUAGUUGUGA